GUGCCAGCCGCCGCGGUAAUACCGGCAGCCCGAGUGAUGGCCGAUCUUAUUGGGCCUAAAGCGUCCGUAGCUGGCCGCGCAAGUCCGUCGGGAAAUCCAUCAGCCCAACUGAUGGGCGUCCGGCGGAAACUGCACGGCUUGGGACCGGAAGGCUCGAGAGGUACGUCCGGGGUAGGAGUGAAAUCCCGUAAUCCUGGACGGACCACCGAUGGCGAAAGCACCUUGGAAGGACGGAUCCGACAGUGAGGGACGAAAGCCAGGGUCUCCAACCGGAUUAGAUACCCGGGUAGUCC
rnacentral:rRNA from 1 species